CUCUUUGCUCUCAUUUUUCACUCCCCACUCCUUCCUCCACUCCCUCACACUCCUCUCAUACCUCUUACCCACGAGCUGCUGCUCCUCCCAAGCUCCAUGGCCGGCCAUGGCCAUGGAAAUCCACCUAGAUGAAGCUCCCCUCCUCCCUCAAGCUUCCCCUCACCAUGAGAGCCUCCCUCUCCUUCUUCUCCCCAACCCUAGAUGGUUUUCUCUCCUCUUCUUCUUCCUCCCUUGCUAAGAUUGGAUCUUGAUGCAGGUUCAUGUUGGUCCAAGCAUGGAGAAGCUUGAGCUAUCCUCAGAUCUGAAGUUCUUGAGCAAAAUCCAAAUCGAGUGAUUCAAAGUUCCGCAGAUAGGUAUUGAAAAGAUCUACAACUUGGCGUUGGUCUCAUACUCAAAUUCGUUACGGAUUUUGCAAGUACCUUCAUUUUGGCGGUGGUUUCACUUCGAUUGACCUCCUGAAACUGAAAUGGUUCACAGAUCAAGAUCUGGUCAGAUCUGACUUUGUCGAAUUAAACCAGGAGCUUGGAAACGAAUUUUUGAAUGAAACCAAUUGGGAUGUUAUCUACCAGGGGAUAUUUGGUUUAUACCAUGGUGAUACCCGAGAAAGGCAAUUGCUAAGUUGUGAUACUCUCAUACCUUUACUAGAUGCGAACGAUUCCGGAGAAGAAGAAGAAGUGGUUCGGACAAGGAUUUUAUUUAUAUUGACGGGAUUCUUAUAUUGAUGAAGUUGAAGAAGUCCAGGGACAAAUAAGCCAAGGCAAGC